UCAAGGUUCCUGCAAAUGGUGUUGAAAACUAUUGGCCAGUAAACACAAAUUAAACCCAUUUAAUUACAUCUUGAAUCUUCACCAGUAGAAAAAAGAUGGCAGUACUUUUAAUGCAAGCAGCUACUAAGGAAGAUUAAAUGAAGGAAGAUCAGGAAAUGGAGAAAAAGCUGAAGAACAAGGAGGACAAGAUGAAGAAAGAACAAGGGCACAGUGACUUGCAGUGUGUGUACAUGUAACAUUAUUACAACAACUAUAUCAUGGGUCCAUAAUUUUGAGUAAGUCAUUCAUCAAGUACUUUAUAUGUACUGGAAACCAUUUCUGAGGGGGAUAAAGUGAUGGAAGAUAAUGAGCCGGAGGGUGGAAUGGAAGAGAAAGGGAAAGAGAUAAAGAAAAAGGCAGAAUGAAAAAGGACUAGAUCAUGACAAGGAGCACACAGCGAAUGUGACUGAUCGGCAGAGGAUGUUUACUCCUAUAUUGCACCUGAUCCCACCUCUGAUGUUUUUAUAGAACUUGCAAUAGAAGAAAAAGUUUAGGGAAAUUAAGAGGAAGAAAUUGAAGAUGAAAAGAAGAGCUCUGGGAGGAAAAAAUUCCAUUUGUUAAGAAUGUGUGGACAAAAGAAAAAUAGCCAUAGCAGAGUGCCAAUGUGGAGUGGAAUAAGUCAGUAUGACUUGAUCGUGGUCAAUUGAAGUGUUUAAAUGCCCCUCCAGAAAGCAGAACAAUCUUUGAAUUUGCAAGAAAGAGUAUA